AGCAAAGGGAUGUCCCUGCAGCUGGGACCUUGUGUGCCUGUGGCCUGGGUGACCCCAACAGGCUCACAGGGACUCUUGGGGAGCACCUCCAACCCCUGUAGGGUGACUUCCAGAAACGGACGGCCCAACUGGAGUCACUCUAUGGGUACAUUUCUCCACGGAACUCAAGGGUCCCUCAACUAUCCCCACUGGUCCGGGACCCUUGAGUUCUGCCACUUGCAACAAGGAGCUCGCUUUGUCCCCUCCUUGACCACCAGGGGGAGCCCGAGCCUCACGUUGAGCCUCGACUCCUGUCUGGACUGGAGGCCCAGGAGCCAGCCCCGCCCUGGUGGGCAGGUACAGACUCCACUGCUGGGGAGGGGACCAGCCCAGACAGAAACGGGCUCUGAGGAAGCCCCGCUGCUACUUUUGCACUGACAGCUCUCUGGAGAGACCCAUGUGUCUGGGAACUGAAGCUUUGAAAAUGCAGUUGGCAAGAACCAAGGGCCACCAACCCCCAGGGGAAUGAGCUGGAAGUCCAUCCCCAAGACCAAUCCAGCCAUGGGGAGACCCUGGGCCAUAUCACCUGAGCACAGCUUCCUACCUGAACUCCUGACCCUUGGAAUUGGAUGGGAAGGCAUGUUUAUUGUUUUAAGCCUGGAAGCUUUGGUGUAAUUCAUUAUGCAGCAACAGACACCCAAUACUCCAUGCCUUUGUGGAAGCACUGUUUCAGCCCCAGACUGCACAUCUCUAGCCUUACAGAAAAAUAAUUUGUCAUAUUUAAGCCACUGCUUUAAUAUUUUUGUUUUCUAUUCAUUACAAUUGAAACUAACCUUAAAUUAUUUGAUAAUAAAGUCUGGGAAGGAUUG